GUAGGCUUAGGAGUUGGCAGCCAUGGGUUUGAGCUUCUGCCCUGCCACAUUGGUGUCAUUACCUGACCCAGAAGGUUGUGAUGGCUAAAUGAAUAAAAACCAAAGAGUAGCGCCGGGCGCAGAGCAAACAUGCAGUAAAUGGGAGGUAGUGUGUCAGAUCUUUCAUAAAAUAUUAUUAGUUCUUAGCUUUCUUGUUCCUGAUGCCUUUUUCUAUAGCAAUGGAGAUUAUGAACUUGACUGAUGCUUCCUUCUUCCUUUCCUUUAGAUUCUUUGGUUCUGAGACUGAAUUGUUUAUGAAAAUCUUUCACUCAUCAGACCUACCAUUAGCUCAACUAGAUGGUAUGACUCUCUUGACUCUUUUGCCAGGGUCACAAAUGUCCCCAACCCUGGAGAAAUGUGGCUGAAUGCUGUGAGGGUGCCCAAGGGAAUUCAAAAGGAAUGAAGUGCCUGGCGGUCACGGACCUUUCCAGACAGAGGAGCAGGGGAUAUUGGAGCUGUUUGUCCUUGACAGGAAUCCAUGCUGAUUUAAAACAUUCAGCAUGGGUUUUGUUGGGUCACAGGGCUUACUGCUUGCAAAGUGUGUCAUGCUGAAUCCAAGCACUUCCAACAUUUAGAGACAUGUGCCUGUGUCCUAAGACAAGAAUAAGAAAUAUUCUCCAAAUGUCUACCUUCACCAGCACUGCCAGAAAGUAUCGGAGUCAUCUUGUCUGGGGCAGUCUCAUCUUUCCCCACUGGUCCUGGAACAUGGAGUGCAGCAUAUUGUUCUUUGGAUAAGCCUGUUUAUCAGGUUGUAAGACAGAGUAUAAUGCUUCCACAUCUCAGUAGUCCCUGGGUUGUAUUUGGAAAAUAGACAGAUUUCCAAACCACAGAUGGAAUCAGUUUCCUUCCUCAAAAUGUUUAUUUUUUAAGCUGCUAUAUGAUAGACACA
rnacentral:lncRNA from 1 species